rnacentral:rRNA from 1 species
GUGGGGAAUCUUCCGCAAUGGACGAAAGUCUGACGGAGCAACGCCGCGUGAGUGAUGACGGCCUUCGGGUUGUAAAGCUCUGUGAUCGGGGACGAAUGGCUGGUAUGCUAAUACCAUAUCAGAGUGACGGUACCCGAAUAGCAAGCCACGGCUAACUACGUGCCAGCAGUCGCGGUAAUACGUAGGUGGCAAGCGUUGUCCGGAAGUAUUGGGCGUAAAGCGCGCGCAGGCGGCUUCUUAAGUCCAUCUUAAAAGUGCGGGGCUUAACCCCGUGAUGGGAUGGAAACUGGGAGGCUGGAGUAUCGGAGAGGAAAGUGGAAUUCCUAGUGUAGCGGUGAAAUGCGUAGAGAUUAGGAAGAACACCGGUGGCGAAGGCGACUUUCUGGACGACAACUGACGCUGAGGCGCGAAAGCGUGGGGAGCAAACAGGAUUAGAAACCCCGGUAGUCC